rnacentral:rRNA from 1 species
AACGAACGCUGGCGGCAUGCUUAACACAUGCAAGUCGAGCGAUGACUUCGGGCUUAGCGGCGGACGGGUGUGCAACGGGUUGGAACGUGCGCUUGUCUUCUGCAUAGCCCUGGGAAACAGGGAGUACAACCGGAUGCGCCCUUUGGGGGUCAGUGUUAUCGGCGUAGGAUCGGCCCGCGUUAGAUUAGGUUGUUGGUUGGGUAAUGGCCUACCAAGCCUACGAUCCAUAGCUGGUUCGAGAGGAUGAUCAGCCACACUUGGACUGAGACACGGCCCACACUGCGACGCAAGGCAGCAGUGUGGAAUCUUAUAAAAGGAGGGAAACCCUGAUCAAGCCAUGCCGCGUGAGCCGUGAAGGCCGUAGGGUUGUAAUUCUCUUUCAGCUGGGAAGAUAAUGACGGUACGAGCAGAAGAAGCCCCGGCUAACUCCGUG